UUUUAAUUCCGGUUGAUCCCGCCGGAGGCCACUGCUAUUGGGGUCCGACUAAGCCAUGCGAGUCAAGGGGCCUGCACCCUUUUGGGUGCAGGCACCGGCGGACGGCUCAGUAACACGUGGUCAACCUACCCUCAGGUGGGGGAUAACCUCGGGAAACUGAGGCUAAUACCCCAUAGGGGAAGAGGUCUGGAAUGAUCCUUCCCCGAAAGGGCGUUAUGCCCGCCUGAGGAUGGGACUGCGGCCGAUUAGGUAGUUGGUGGGGUAACGGCCCACCAAGCCUACGAUCGGUACGGGCCUUGAGAGAGGGAGCCCGGAGAUGGGGACUGAGACAAGGCCCCAGGCCCUACGGGGCGCAGCAGGCGCGAAACCUCC
rnacentral:rRNA from 1 species